CUAGCCUUCGGUUCCCAUGUGCAUCAAUGAACCUUGGGCACCCAUGACCCUGACACCGGUUCAUUGGUUGUCCUUCGUUACACAAAUUUUAGUAGGUACUAAUCAUUGCAUACCCUGCAAGACUUGCUCUUUUGUGGAUGCUCUGACAUAGUCGUCUAGCCAUCACUAUUUGGCCCUUGUCAAAGUCACUCAUAUCUUUUCGAUUGCCCAUAUUUCUCUCAUCCAAAACAUGAAAUUCUAGAACUUACUGUUCACUUGCUGCCUAAUAGAUCCUACUACUUGACAGGUGCCAUUGUAACAAUAUAAUCAAUGUUACUCACUUCACCAGUCAGUGGUUUUAAUAUUGUGGCUGAUCAGUGUAUAACCAUAUGUAAUAAAAUAAAUCACCCCGUGAUUAUUAGGCUUGCUAACUUGGACAUUUCUACUUGCUACACAAAAAUUCCAUUAACAGCUGGCUGGCAGGCAUGCAGGAUGGGAGGCUUAAUUGCUAAAGUGGGGGAGGGAAGGAGCCAUUAUUGUUGAAGACAAAUUCAAUAUAAAGGAGAGGAAAAGAGCUAUAUAUCUGGGUAGGAGAUGAAAGCGGACAUUGUGGCAAUAAGCAAGAGUUGGUAUUUGAUUAUAAAUGAAUGUGAGUGGUAAAUGCAAUAGGAUGUUUUCAGAUUCACAUGGCCACUGUCACUAUUCAGAAAUACAUUGUUGCCAUUCAGCAAUGAGAAUGCUUAGUUCCUUCCCCAAAAAA